rnacentral:rRNA from 1 species
GACGAAGGGGGCUAGCGUUGUUCGGAAUUACUGGGCGUAAAGAGUGUGUAGGCGGUGUUCCCAGUCUGUUGUUAAAUCUCCCGGCUUAACUGGGAGGGUGCAGCGGAAACUAGAAUGCUAGAGGGUGGGAGAGGUAAGCGGAAUUCCUGGUGUAGCGGUGAAAUGCGUAGAUAUCAGGAGGAACACCGGUGGCGAAGGCGGGUCUCUGGGCAGUAACUGACGCUGAGGAGCGAAAGCGUGGGGAGCGAACAGG